rnacentral:rRNA from 1 species
GAUGAGCGCUGGCGGCGUGCCUAAUACAUGCAAGUCGAGCGAACUGAUUAGAAGCUUGCUUCUAUGACGUUAGCGGCGGACGGGUGAGUAACACGUGGGCAACCUGCCUGUAAGACUGGGAUAACUUCGGGAAACCGAAGCUAAUACCGGAUAGGAUCUUCUCCUUCAUGGGAGAUGAUUGAAAGAUGGUUUUGGCUAUCACUUACAGAUGGGCCCGCGGUGCAUUAGCUAGUUGGUGAGGUAACGGCUCGCCAAGGCAACGAUGCAUAGCCGACCUGAGAGGGUGAUCGGCCACACUGGGACUGAGACACGGCCCAGACUCCUACGGGAGGCAGCAGUAGGGAAUCUUCCGCAAUGGACGAAAGUCUGACGGAGCAACGCCGCGUGAGUGAUGAAGGCUUUCGGGUCGUAAAACUCUGUUGUUAGGGAAGAACAACUACGAGAGUAACUGCUCGUACCUUGACGGUACCUAACCAGAAAGCCACGGCUAACUACGUGCCAGCCGCCGCCGUAA